UCGUUGUUGGACCUAGGAUCAUUGUCAUUAGCUUCUCGAGUGUCUGAUUACCGCGGUUACUUGUCAAAUUCUGUAAUAGUCGUAUUUCCACUAGUCAAUGUCUUCUCCAUUGCAUAGCAACAAUGUGUAGUCCAAAUGAGUAUUCGUUUCACGCCCCUAACCCUAAUCAUAAUGUGAACCCGACAUGUAUGUAGAAACCAAUACCUGUAUAGAAGCUCCAAGACAUUCAUAGCGUUCUGUACUGCAAAUGAUAUUGCAAUGGAAACCGAAUGGUGGCCCAUUAAUUUCGGGAUAACCAGAAAUUGGUAUUCGGAGAGUACAAGCUAUGGUUUAGGUUCCAUUAAUUAUUUACUAGUCGGAACUUGAGUUUGAAGCGUGCCCUUUUAGAAGAAAGUUCCUGAUGUAUUGUCGAUGUCGUGUUUACGGAUGAACUAGCAUUAAGUAUCGAUAGAUGAACAUACUAUUUCCACGUUUGCGAUGCGGUGAUAUUCCACAGCUUGUGUAACUUUAAUCAAUGUCUCAGCUUCCCUUAAACUUUAAACCGUUUUGAAUGGAAUAUUCAUGCGAGUUCGCAAAUGUUGUGUCGAAUUAUAAUGAUUUGUAGAACCAUGCACAAUGUCGCGAGACGUCGUCCUAACGAAGAAGAUGAUGAACGAUACAUCGCCUCGUCGAAGAAAAUGGACGACUGUUAAGAGUUAACCAUUACAGAGAAGAUCCGACCCGAAAUUCACUUUACGUAUACUUAUCGACCAUAUUCUCUGUUAUAUUCUUUUACGAGCUAUGGGAUGGGUUUAACUUCUCCCUAACGAUCGUCUCUGUGUCACAGAAAUUGCAUCGGUGGAUCGUUUCCUUAGUGUGUAAAAGCUGAAAAUUUUCUGAUAUGAAAGAGAUAUUCUCAAUACACGUUCGUAAUACGUUCGUAAUACGCUCGUAGAUAAAAUACUACGAUGCGUUCAAGCUAUUUGAGGCGAGUAAAUGCACGAUACACUAUAGAAACGUAAUGGCGCUGGUUUCGUAAUUUUUUAAGGCAGGCUGUUUUCUUUGGUGUGUAAUUUAUGGAAUGUUCGCGCGACGCUUCACAAAGCGGGACUCUAAGGCAGAGUUCGCGUGGCUAAAGGGUUUUUCAAGAUGUAAAUACCGCUUCCUGGAAGUAGAAGAACAUGCGAAACCACUUAGUACACGAGAUAAUCUUUUGGGUAUAAAUUAUUAAUCCUUAAAUGCAUAGUGGUGUCGUCAUUUGAUAAUAUAACUUUUUUCUUAACAUAGCGAAUAUAUGCGAGGCAUUGUCAGCAGAGUUAGACUAAAACAUAUUUCUUCUAAAUGUGAGUUUAUGAAUAAAAUUAUUAUAUUAUACAUAGUUCGAUACAAGUAACAUAAAAAUACUAUCAAAUUAGUUUAUUUCAUUUGUACGUUUGAUUAUCCUAUUGUCUCCGUCUCUUGUUACAGUAAAAUGUUUUAAGAAUUGUGUUAUGCAAUCAACGAGAUAAAUAGCUGAUUACAUCUUCGCGAUAAUCGACCUGCAAUUUGCUUAUAUCUUUCAGACACGUUAUAGCCAUCUUUGAUAACAAAGUACUUUCCCCAGUAAAAAAUUAAAAAAAAAUAAAUGGCGUGAAUUCAAUAAUUUUUCUAUGAUUUUGUGGUUUGAUUAUAUCUAGGGAGAAGAAUCAAGGUUUGACAAAUAUAUUGCAACCAUUUCUGUAACUCUUUAGCUACAGAAGUGUUUCACUUCGCAUUCUUCCUUCUGGCAACGCGAAAACUCAUCACGACGGAUAUCUUGAGGUUCAGAAUUUGAACUUUCAAAUCGAAAUCUCCGUUCAUUAGUUCGUGUGCAAAUGAACCGAACGGGAAGGAACAAGUACCGUGCUGAUGUUGAAGUUCAGCGUCCUACGAAAGUAAUUCGUGAAAGUUGCGAACUGCCGAAGAAGUCGAAAAAGUUCUUAAAGGUUCGUGGGUAAUUUUAAUUUAGUUCCAAAGUGCAAGAAACAUUUGGAUACGAUUAAAAUUUCCGCGUGAAUAUAAAGGGUGAUCGUUAGGAAUUGAUUUCUGCACGAUGUCAUAGCGAAAUUUAGAGAACAUAUAGAACCAAACCGAGCAAAUACACCAUUAAAAUUGGCAAGCACCUGUCGCGUCGAUAUCGCGACACGGUUUUAUAGGCUUUCCACUUUCAUUAGCUUCCCAAAUUGCAAUAUUCGCGAGAUUGGAAUCAAACCAGAAUUAUAUC